rnacentral:rRNA from 1 species
GUGCACGCUGGCGGUAGGCCUAACCCAUGCCCGUCGAACGGCAGCACCGUAAGAGCUUGCUCUUACGGGUGGCGAGUGGCGGACGGGUGAGGAAUACAUCGGAAUCUACUUUUUCGUGGGGGAUAACGUAGGGAAACUUACGCUAAUACCGCAUACGACCUACGGGUGAAAGCAGGGGAUCUUCGGACCUUGCGCGAUUGAAUGAGCCGAUGUCGGAUUAGCUAGUUGGCGGGGUAAAGGCCCACCAAGGCGACGAUCCGUAGCUGGUCUGAGAGGAUGAUCAGCCACACUGGAACUGAGACACGGUCCAGACUCCUACGGGAGGCAGCAGUGGGGAAUAUUGGACAAUGGGCGCAAGCCUGAUCCAGCCAUACCGCGUGGGUGAAGAAGGCCUUCGGGUUGUAAAGCCCUUUUGUUGGGAAAGAAAAGCAGCAGGUUGAUACCCCGCUGUUCUGACGGUACCCAAAGAAUAAGCACCGGCUAACUUCGUG